rnacentral:rRNA from 1 species
UUCCGGUUGAUCCCGCCGGACCUGACUGCUAUCGGAUUGAUACUAAGCCAUGCGAGUCUUUGCAGUAAUGCAAGGCAUACGGCUCAGUAACACGUAGUCAACUUACCCUAUGGACGAGGAUAAUCUCGGGAAACUGAGCAUAAUACUCGAUAGAUCAUAAUGCCUGGAAUGGUUUAUGGUUAAAAUGAUUCGUCGCCAUAGGAUGGGACUGCGGCCUAUCAGCUUGUUGGUGAGGUAAUGGCCCACCAAGGCGAUUACAGGUACGGGCUCUGAGAGGAGAAGCCCGGAGAUGGGUACUGAGACAAGGACCCAGGCCCUAUGGGGCGCAGCAGGCGAGAAAACUUUGCAAUGUGCGAAAGCACGACAAGGUUAAUCCGAGUGAUUUCUGCUAAAGAAAUCUUUUGCAAGUCAUAAAACCACUAGUGAAUAAGGGGUGGGCAAGUUCUGGUGUCAGCCGCCGCGGUAAAACCAGCACCUCAAGUGGUCAGGAGGAUUAUUGGGCCUAAAGCAUCCGUAGCCGGCUCUGUAAGUUUUCGGUUAAAUCCAUGUGCUCAACGCAUGGGCUGCCGAAAAUACUGCAUAGCUAGGGAGUGGGAGAGGUAGACGGUACUCGGUAGGAAGGGGUAAAAUCCUUUGAUCUAUCGAUGACCACCUGUGGCGAAGGCGGUCUACCAGAACACGUUCGACGGUGAGGGAUGAAAGCUGGGGGAGCAAACCGGAUUAGAUACCCGGGUAGUCCCAGCUGUAAACGAUGCAGACUCGAUGAUGCAUUGGCAUAUAGCCAGUGCAGUGUCGCAGGGAAGCCGUUAAGUCUGCCGCCUGGGAAGUACGUACGCAAGUAUGAAACUUAAAGGAAUUGGCGGGGGAGCACCACAAGGGGUGAAGCCUGCGGUUCAAUUGGAUUCAACGCCGG